CCCAGGUAGGGGCUGGAGCCUCUGAGUAACCAGCUGGACAGGAAGGGGAUGCGGAGCCUUGGGAAUAACAUGGACACAUCAGCACCCUUGCAUACUGAAAAUAAAGAACCAAGAUUUUAUACAUAGAUUUUCUAGAAUACAUAUUGCUGUGGACUGAACUGUGUCCCCCAACUCCUAAGUUGAAGCGUUGACCCACAGGGUUCUGGGAGCUGAAAGUGGGGCUUCUGGGAGGUGAAUAGCUGAGGUCAUGAGGGAGGGACCCUCACGAUGGAAUCAGUGUCCUUCUAAGAAGAGACACCAGAGAGCUUGCCCUCCCUCCACCAUGUGAGGACACAGGAAGACGGCAGCAGCUGCAAACCAAGGAGAGGGCUGGCAGCAGACCCCAACCCGGCUGGCACCCUGAUCUCAGACCUCCGGCCUCCAGAACUGGGAGAAAAUUAAUUUCUGUUGUUUAAGCCACACAGUCUGUGGUAUUUUGUUACAGCAGCCCAAGCAGACUAACAAACAUAUAUAUUGCU